rnacentral:rRNA from 1 species
CCCUUAGAUGUUCUGGGCCGCACGCGUGCUACACUGAUGCAUUCAACGAGUCUAAAACCUGGUCUGAUAGGGCUGGGUAAUCUUUUGAAAGUGCAUCGUGAUUGGGAUAGAUGAUUGCAAUUCUUCAUCUUCAACGAGGAAUGCCUAGUAAACGCAAGUCAUCAGCUUGCAUUGAUUACGUCCCUGCCCUUUGUACACACCGCCCGUCGCUCCUACCGAUUGAAUGAUCCGAUGAAUACCAUGGAUUGAGAGUACGAAUAGGUUCGCAUAUUUCUGCUGCUCGAGAAGUGGAGUAAAUCUUAUCAUUUAGAGGAAGGAGAAGUCGUAACA